UAAAAUGUAGUAACCUAUGUGUGAGGCAAGUUACUAGCUAGCUAUGCUAACGGCUACAGCAAGUCGAGCCUUUGUCCCCUUCAAAUGUGCUCAUGUGGGCUCCUGCAGUGGCACACACCUGUGUGGAGAAAAGCUAAUGACUAACGGCAUCGAGCGGCUACAGGCAGGGAGCGGUGGGUCUAGCGUCUGUCCUUUUUCUGUAAUCGCAUACACCUGCGGGGAACAGCUGAUCGUUAUCGCCCUUCCAGCGCCGACAGACAGGAAGCGGUGGAUCUAGCUCGCUGUAGUAAGUUUGUGCUUGAUACUUGUGAUAUCUAAAUAUGUUAGUUGGGUCUGUUUAAAAUGCAGUAACCCACAUGUGAGACAAGCUAAUCGCUAGCGUCGCUAACGGCUACAGUGAGUCAACCGAGCCUUUGUCCCUUUCAAAUGUGCUACUCUGAGUUGGCGCAAUCACACACCUGUGUGGGGAACAGCUAAUAGCGAUGGGCCUUCGAUCGGCGACAGGCAGGAAGCGGUGGAUCGAGCUUUUGUCCUGUUGACGUGCUGUAGAGCUACAGCUGGUCGAUCGCUACAAAAAGAACCUGCAGAUGAACGCGGUUAUGUUUAUUACCCCGUCCUGUGUCACAGCCUAAAUCAACUUGUGAUUUUGGGUUAUGUCAUUGUUCUAUCAAAUUCUAACAUGAUAAGUUGGAAUGAUUACUGUGUUGUGUUUCAAGCUUAGUUGCUAAUUAGUCACCUCUCUACAAUACCUGCUGCUUAUCUGGUCAGUUACCUAUAGCUUGUACCAUAGCCAUUAUAUUUGUAGGACCAAUACAAUUUACAGUAAAUGUAACAGUCUUUUCUAUACUGUAGGAGGGCAAAUCCCAGUUACCCACAUGCAAGGAGGCUGUCAAACAGAGAAAUCACUGCAGACUGUUGGUACACAGACAUCUGCUGCCCAGCUCAGGAGUAAAGUACCUUUUGUUUUGAUGAGGUGAUGGUGAGGACAGCCACAGCUUCCAUCUGGUAGAGGACUGCUUCCGCUCAGUCUUCCAAAUAGUGAUGAGAACAAGGAUCACCACAUCUCCCUGUUUACCCUACUUUCAUGCAUUUCGUCUGCAAGGCCCUGCAAAAGCUUCUGACCUCAAACCCCCAGACCUCUUAAUUAACUCAGUAACCUAUACAUUGCACAUUGGAGUGUGAAGGUAACAGUUUGUUCUAACUUUGGAGUAGUGGUGUAUUUUUUUGGUUUACAAUAAAGUUGGCUUUAACUAUUA